UAUACAGAAAAAUUCACCGCACUGUAACCGACUGCUCUCUCUCUCUCUCUUUUCAAGAAAUAUUGACCGUUCCCAUUAACUCACUCGCUCAGUCUCCUAUGUCCCCUACCCCAAUUCAUAUUAAUAAAUAAAUAUGAUGCUACAUCUUUGUGGUUUGGACUAAUAUAUUCCAUCGGACGCAGACAAAAUGAGAGGGUGUAGAUGCUGCUACUACUAAAAACUCUUUACACAAACACAAACACGCACUGUUCUUCCUUUUUCAGUGUUGCGUCAAAAGGGCAGGUAGAUUUUCUGUUCGGGUUUAUGUUUCUGUAAUGCCAGAGUGAGUGGCAAAAGAUAAAUGUCUGGGUUGGGCAACAAUGGGCAAAUUUGAAGGUGGCAAAGUUGUCGGAUCGGUCGAGCUGGAUCGGAAUUUCACACUUUCGUCGGCAUUUUCCGGUGCCUCAUUUCGCCGGAAGAUCAUCAAUGCCAUUCGCUGCGGCGGCGGAAUCCCGCAAAAGCCCAGCAAUAAACCCGAAAAGAAGAGGCAAUCCGGAUCCAACAAGUUGUCGGAGCUUCUGAAGCAACCGGAGUGUAGGGAGAGUGAGGAUGAAAUAAGGAAAAAGGAGGAGUACUUGGAGGAGCUAAAACGAGUGGCGAAGAAGCUUCAGCAAGAGAGCAACUCAGAGGAAGAACUGAAGAUAAAUGUGUUGGAGGGGGCGACAGAUGUUAGGAGGUUUACAAAGGAAGAUUCUCAGGCAAGGACCACUCUAGCUCUUCUGGGUGUCAUUCCGCCGCUCGUGGCGGCGCUUGACGCGGAGGAUCCCACUUCUCAGACUCAGAUCGCCGCCCUUUAUGCAUUGCUUAACCUCACCAUUGCCAAUGAUGCAAACAAAGCUGCUAUUGUUAAAGCAGGGGCUGUCCACAAGAUGCUAAAGCUAGUCAAUUCUUCAAAUGAAUCACCUAAGCAGUCUGUUGCUGAAGCAAUUGUAGCUAAUUUUCUUGGUUUGAGUGCACUCGACUCGAAUAAACCAAUCAUUGGUUCUUCAGGUGCAAUCCCAUUUUUGGUGGAAACUUUCAAAGAUUUCAAUGAGCAAAUUAGUUCUCAAGCUAAACAGGACUCUUUGCGAGCACUCUACAAUCUUUCCAUCUUGCCUUCGAACGUGCUUUUGAUCCUGGAGACUGAUCUGAUACCACUUCUCUUGAGCAAGCUGGGAGAUGUGGAUGCAAGUGAGAGAAUCCUCUCUAUACUUAGCAACGUAGUAUCUGUUGCAGAGGGGAGGAAGGCAAUUAGGAUUUUGCCCGAUGCCUUUCCAAUACUAAUUGAUGUACUGAAUUGGACGGAUUCACCAGGGUGCCAAGAGAAAGUAUCAUACAUUCUUAUGGUGAUAGUUCACAAAUCUUAUGGAGACAGGCAAGCAAUGAUCGAGGCUGGAAUUGCCUCCUCCCUUCUUGAACUGACAUUAUUAGGAAGCACGUUGGCACAAAAAAGAGCUUCAAGGAUAUUGGAGUGUUUAAGAGUGGAGAAAGGGAAGCAAGUUUCGGGAGGGUUGGGAUCAGGAUUGUCAGCUCCGUUGUACGGUCCUUCACCUACUCAUCAAUCGGACGAAUUAUUGGAGGGGGAGGACGAUAUGUUGAGCGAAGAGAGGAAAGCAGUCGGGCAACUAGUUCAACAAAGUUUGCACAAUAACAUGAAGAGAAUGAUGAAGAGGGCUAAUUUGCCACGAGAUUUUGUUGCUUCUCAUCAUUUCAAGUCCCUUUCAUCAAGUUCCACGUCUAAGAGCUUACCAUUUUGAGGGAAUUGAAAAGUUCAGAAACAACCAGAAUUGUGUUUAUGCUGCUGGAUUGCUUCUUUCGUCUAGGGUGCAAUAACUAAGAAGAUUCUUGUCUCCCUCUGUUGACAAUAGGUUUUUGAGUUCUCCGGAAUCUUUGGGUCUACUAAAGUCGAAGCGAAUUUAUUAUUCCUUUGGCCACCUAAAUGGCUAAAAACUAUAUAUGUCCAACUUCUUAUAAAAA